rnacentral:lncRNA from 1 species
AAAAGUCUUUGAAGUGAGUAAUGGCUCCUCACUCUCUGGAGGGGCCAUCACUGGCAUUGUGUUUGGAAUCCUAAUUGGAGCUACUCUCUUUGGGGUCUUCAUCUAUUUCUACUUCUUCAGGGACAGGGCCAUCAAAUACCAGGUUCAGAGAAGAACCAUUCAGCACGCAAACAUGGUGAGGACAUCACCCUAUAUGAAAACAAUAUUUGCCUACAAGGUUCACUUCUGCCUGCACAGGACCUGGGCUCCUCUCCUGCUUUUCCUGAAGUCCCACUUGAGAGUUCCUAUCAGACACUGGACAUCACCAGAGUAGAUGUUUAUGACAAGAUUUAUCCCUGGAAGCCUAAAGCUUAAGGAAGUGGGGAAAGUCCCAAGAUACAAGAAAAAAAACCACUGGAUAAAAUUCAGCACCCAUUUUUAUUAAAAAAACACUAGAGAAUAUAUACAUCAUCAGUUUCCUUAAAAUGAUCAGUUGCGAAUGGAUGUCCAUCAAUUGGAGAAUGGCUGAAUAAACUGUAUAUGAAUAUUAUGGAAUAUUACUGUUCUGUAAGAAAUGACCAACAGGAUGAUUUCAGAAAGGCCUGGAGAGACUUACACGAACUGAUGCUGAGUGAAAUGAGCAGGACCAGGAGAUCAUUAUAUACUUCAACAACAAUACUAUAUGAUGACCACUUCUGAUGGACCUGGCCAUCCUCAGCAACGAGAUCAACCAAAUCAUUUCCAAUGGAGCAGUAAUGAACUGAACCAAGUAUGCCCAGAGAAAGAACUUUGGGAGAUAACUAAAAACCAUUACAUUGAAUUCCCAAUCCCUAUAUUUAUGCCCACCUGCAUUUUUGAUUUCCUUCACAAGCUAAUUGUACAAUAUUUCAGAGUCUGAUUCUUUUUAUACAGCAAAAUAA